rnacentral:rRNA from 1 species
UACAGAGGUCCCAAGCGUUGUUCGGAUUCACUGGGCGUAAAGGGUGCGCAGGUGGUCGGGUAAGUCUGACGUGAAAUCCCGCAGCUUAACUGCGGAAUGGCAUUGGAUACUAUUCGGCUAGAGGGUUGGAGGGGGGACUGGAAUUCUCGGUGUAGCAGUGAAAUGCGUUGAUAUCAGGAGGAACACCGAUGGCGAAGGCAGCAAACUGGUCGUCAACUGACGCUGAGGCGCGAAAGCGUGGGUAGCAAACAGG